CGGUAACAGAUCUAGCUUGCUAGAUGCUGACGAGCGGCGGACGGGUGAGUAAUGCAUAGGAAUCUGCCCGAUAGUGGGGGAUAACCUGGGGAAACCCAGGCUAAUACCGCAUACGUCCUACGGGAGAAAGGGGGCUYCGGCUCCCGCUAUUGGAUGAGCCUAUGUCGGAUUAGCUAGUUGGURRGGUAAWGGCYYACCAAGGCAACGAUCCGUAGCUGGUCUGAGAGGAUGAUCAGCCACAUCGGGACUGAGACACGGCCCGAACUCCUACGGGAGGCAGCAGUGGGGAAUAUUGGACAAUGGGGGCAACCCUGAUCCAGCCAUGCCGCGUGUGUGAAGAAGGCCCUCGGGUUGUAAAGCACUUUCAGCGAGGAAGAACGCCUGUCGGUUAAUACCCGGUAGGAAAGACAUCACUCGCAGAAGAAGCACCGGCUAACUCCGUGCCAGCAGCCGCGGUAAUACGGAGGGUGCAAGCGUUAAUCGGAAUUACUGGGCGUAAAGCGCGCGUAGGUGGCUUGAUAAGCCGGUUGUGAAAGCCCCGGGCUCAACCUGGGAACGGCAUCCGGAACUGUCAGGCUAGAGUGCAGGAGAGGAAGGUAGAAUUCCCGGUGUAGCGGUGAAAUGCGUAGAGAUCGGGAGGAAUACCAGUGGCGAAGGCGGCCUUCUGGACUGACACUGACACUGAGGUGCGAAAGCGUGGGUAGCAAACAGGAUUAGAUACCCUGGUAGUCCACGCCGUAAACGAUGUCGACCAGCCGUUGGGUGCCUAGAGCACUUUGUGGCGAAGUUAACGCGAUAAGUCGACCGCCUGGGGAGUACGGCCGCAAGGUUAAAACUCAAAUGAAUUGACGGGGGCCCGCACAAGCGGUGGAGCAUGUGGUUUAAUUCGAUGCAACGCGAA
rnacentral:rRNA from 1 species